rfam:Populus trichocarpa isolate Nisqually-1 chromosome 17, whole genome shotgun sequence.
GGGUGUGAUCAUACCAUCACUAAUGCACCAGAUCCCAUCAGAACUCCGCAGUUAAACGUGCUUAGGCUAGAGUAGUACUAGGAUGUGUGACCUCCUGGGAAGUCCUCGUGUUGCACCCC